CACGUAGGCGGAUCGUUAAGUCAGGGGUGAAAUCCCGGGGCUCAACCCGGAACUGCCUCUGAUACUGGCGAUCUCGAGUUCGGGAGAGGUGAGUGGAAUUCCGAGUGUAGAGGUGAAAUUCGUAGAUAUUCGGAGGAACACCAGUGGCGAAGGCGGCUCACUGGCCCGAUACUGACGCUGAGGUGCGAAAGCGUGGGGAGCAAACA
rnacentral:rRNA from 1 species